GAUGAACGCUGGCGGCGUGCCUAAUACAUGCAAGUCGAGCGAACAGACGAGGAGCUUGCUCCUCUGACGUUAGCGGUGGACGGGUGAGUAACACGUGGAUAACCUACCUAUAAGACUGGGAUAACUUCGGGAAACCGGAGCUAAUACCGGAUAACAUGUUGAACCGCAUGGUUCAACAGUGAAAGACGGUCUUGCUGUCACUUAUCGAUGGAUCCGCGCCGCAUUAGCUUGUUGGUAAGGUAACGGCUUACCAAGGCAACGAUGCGUAGCCGACCUGAGAGGGCGAUCGGCCGCCCUGGGACUGUGACCCGGCCCAGUCUCCUUCGGGAGCGGCCCGUAGGGAAUCGUCCGCCAGGGGCGAAGACCUGUCGGCACAGCGCCGCGUCAGUAAGGAACGUCUUCGGAUCCUAAAACUCUGUUUUUAGGUAGGAACCCGUUUGUAAGUGACUAGGCGCGUCUUUACGGUUCCUGGUCAGAAAGCCACCGCUUACCACCUU
rnacentral:rRNA from 1 species